AAUCAACGCUGGCGGCGUGCCUCAGACAUGCAAGUCGAACGCGAAAGUUCCCUUCGGGGGGCGAGUAGAGUGGCGCACGGGUGAGUAACACGUAGGUAAUCUACCUUUGGGUGGGGAAUAACAGCCGGAAACGGCUGCUAAUACCGCAUAAUGCAGCGGCUCGACAUCGAGACAGUUGUUAAAGCGGGGGAUCGCAAGACCUCGCGCCUAAAGAGGAGCCUGCGGCGGAUUAGCUUGUUGGUGAGGUAAUGGCUCACCAAGGCAUCGAUCCGUAGCCGGCCUGAGAGGGCGGUCGGCCACACUGACACUGACAUACGGGUCAGACUCCUACGGGAGGCAGCAGUCGGGAAUUUUGGGCAAUGGGCGCAAGCCUCGACCCAGCAACGCCGCGUGAAGGAUGAAAUCCCUCGGGAUGUAAACUUCG
rnacentral:rRNA from 1 species